GUCGAGCGAUGAGGACACCUUCGGGUGGCAAAUCAGCGGCAGACGGGGGAGUAACACGUAAGUAACCUACCCCAUACACAGGGAUAACCCUAGGAAACGAGGGCUAAUACCAGAUGAACUCCGCGAGGAGUAAAGGCUCCGGCGCUCUGGGAGGGGCUUGCGGCCCAUCAGCUAGUUGGUAGGGUAAAGGCCUACCAAGGCGAAGACAGGUAGGGGGUGUGAGAGCACAAUGCCCCACAAUGGAAAUGCCACACGGCCCAUACUCCUACCGGACGCAACUCCUGGGAAUAUUGCUGAUGGGAGAAAGCCUGAUGCAUCGACGCCGCGUGACUGAAGAAGGCCUUCGGGUCGUAAAGCUCUUUUGUAGGGGAAGAGAAAAGACGGUACCCUGAAAAAAAUGCCCGGCUCCCCACUUGCCCGCAGCCGCGGAAAGACGUACGAAACUACCGUUAUCCAAACUUACUGAGCCUGGAUGUUCAGCAGGCGGCUAGGUAACUUGUGCGUGACAGCCUCGUGCUCCCCGCCAGGACCCCCGAGAAUACUGUCUAGCUGAAUGGCAUCUCGAAGUGAGUGUGAUUCCCUGAGUAUCGUUCAAAUGCGCAGAUAUCAGAUAGGAACACCGAUGGCGAAGGCAACUGCCCGGGGGUGUACCUGACGCUAAGUGGCGAGAGCUAGGAGAGCGAACAGGAUUAGAGACCAUGGUAGUCCUAGCUGUACACGCUGGGUGCUAGGUGUGAGUCGUAGAAGCUCUGUGCCGUAGCGAACGCGAUAAGCACCCCGCCUGGGAAUUACGGUCGCAAGGCUAAAACUCAAAAGAAUUGACGGGGCCCCGCACAAGCAGCGGAGCGUGUGGUUCAAUUGGAUGAUACACGAAGAACCUUACCUGGGUUUGACAUGUACGUGGUAGAGAAGGGAAAGUGGAUUGACCCUUUGGGGAGGGUACACAGGUGCAGCAUGGCUGUCGUCAGCUCGUUCCUUGAGGUGUCGGGUUAAGUCCUGUAACGAGCGCAACCCUUGCCCUUAGUUACAAGUGUCUAGGGGGACUGCUGGCGGGAAGCCGGAGGAAGGUGGGGAUGACGUCAAGUCAGCAUGGCCCUUAUGUCCAGGGCUUCACACACGCUACAAUGGUCAGUACAAAGGGUAGGGAAGCCGCGAGGUGGAGCGAAUUUCAGCAAAGCUGAUCGUAGUUCGGAUUGCAGUCUGCAACCCGCCUGCAUGAAGCUGUAGUUGUUAGUAACCGCGCGUCAGCCAUAGUGCGGUGAAUACGUACCCGGGGCCUGUACACACCCCCCGUCACGUCAUGGGAGUCGGUAACGCCUGAAGCCGGUAGUCUAGCCCGCAAGGGGGGACGCUGUC
rnacentral:rRNA from 1 species